GAUGAACGCUAGCGACAGGCUUAACACAUGCAAGUCGAGGGGCAGCAUAGAAGUAGCAAUACUUUGGUGGCGACCGGCGCACGGGUGAGUAACGCGUAUGCAACCUACCUAUCAGAGGGGGAUAACCCGGCGAAAGUCGGACUAAUACCGCAUAAAACAGGGGCACCGCAUGGUGAUAUUUGUUAAAGAUUAAUUGCUGAUAGAUGGGCAUGCGUUCCAUUAGGUAGUUGGUGAGGUAAUGGCUCACCAAGCCGACGAUGGAUAGGGGAACUGAGAGGUUGGUCCCCCACACUGGUACUGAGACACGGACCAGACUCCUACGGGAGGCAGCAGUGAGGAAUAUUGGUCAAUGGGCGAGAGCCUGAACCAGCCAAGUCGCGUGAAGGAAGAAGGAUCUAUGGUUCGUAAACUUCUUUUGCAGGGGAAUAAAGUGGAGGACGUGUCCUCUUUUGUAUGUACCCUGAGAAUAAGGAUCGGCUAACUCCGUGCCAGCAGCCGCCGUAAAAC
rnacentral:rRNA from 1 species